UAGGGAAUCUUCCACAAUGGACGCAAGUCUGAUGGAGCAACGCCGCGUGAGUGAAGAAGGUUUUCGGAUCGUAAAGCUCUGUUGUUGGUGAAGAAGGAUAGAGGUAGUAACUGGCCUUUAUUUGACGGUAAUCAACCAGAAAGUCACGGCUAACUACGUGCCAGCAGCCGCGGUAAUACGUAGGUGGCAAGCGUUGUCCGGAUUUAUUGGGCGUAAAGCAAGCGCAGGCGGAAGAAUAAGUCUGAUGUGAAAGCCCUCGGCUUAACCGAGGAACUGCAUCGGAAACUGUUUUUCUUGAGUGCAGAAGAGGAGAGUGGAAUUCCAUGUGUAGCGGUGGAAUGCGUAGAUAUAUGAAAGAACACCAGUGGCGAAGGCGACUCUCUGGUCUGCAACUGACGCUGAGGCUCGAAAGCAUGGGUAGCGAACAGG
rnacentral:rRNA from 1 species